UACAGAGGUCUCAAGCGUUGUUCGGAAUCACUGGGCGUAAAGGGUGCGUAGGCUGCACGGUAAGUCAGAGGUGAAAUCCCGGAGCUCAACUUCGGAAUUGCCUCCGAUACUGCCGUGCUUGAGGACUGGAGAGGAGAUUGGAAUUCACAGUGGAGCAGUGAAAUGCGUAGAUAUUGUGAGGAACACUAGUGGCGAAGGCGAUCACCUGGGGUUGUUCUGACGCUGAGGAGCGAAAGCUAGGGGAGCAAACGGG
rnacentral:rRNA from 1 species